AAGUUGAAGGAAAUAUGGUGAGUAUUAUGGUCAUUUGGAGGGACAGGCAGCUGAAUGUGGAGGUCAGUCCGAAGUGUAACUUUGAAGAGCUGGGAAAGAAGUUGCAUUCAUUAACUAAUGUUGAACCACAUACCAUGAGGCUACUAGUUCCCCAGUUAACUAGUAAAACAUCAAAACUUAUUACUCCAUUUUCUGCUGAGCACUCUCGGUUGUACUUGCAAGAGAUGGCUAUUA
rnacentral:misc_RNA from 1 species